GACGAACGCUGGCGGCGCGCUUAACACAUGCAAGUCGAGCGAUGAAAUCUUGACAGAACCCUUCGGGGUGAAGAUAAGAUGGAUUAGCGGCGGACGGGUGAGUAACACGUGAGUAACCUGCCUUAGACAUUGGGAUAGCCUCGGGAAACCGGGAUUAAUACCAAAUGAAAUCACAUAUGCACAUGCAUAAAUGAUCAAAGCUCCGGCGGUCUAAGAUGGACUCGCGUCCCAUUAGCUAGUUGGUGAGGUAACGGCCCACCAAGGCGACGAUGGGUAGCCGGCCUGAGAGGGUGAACGGCCACAUUGGAACUGAGAAACGGUCCAAACUCCUACGGGAGGCAGCAGUGGGGAAUAUUGCACAAUGGAGGGAACUCUGAUGCAGCGACGCCGCGUGAACGAAGAAGGCUUUCGAGUCGUAAAGUUCUUUUAUAUGGGAAGAUAAUGACGGUACCAUAAGAAAAAGCCCCGGCUAACUACGUGCCAGCAGCCGCGGUAAUACGUAGGGGGCUAGCGUUGUCCGGAAUCACUGGGCGUAAAGGGUUCGCAGGCGGAAAUGCAAGUCAGGUGUAAAAGGCAGUAGCUUAACUACUGUAAGCAUUUGAAACUGCAUAUCUUGAGAAGAGUAGAGGUAAGUGGAAUUUUUAGUGUAGCGGUGAAAUGCGUAGAUAUUAAAAAGAAUACCGGUGGCGAAGGCGACUUACUGGGCUCAUUCUGACGCUGAGGAACGAAAGCGUGGGUAGCAAACAGG
rnacentral:rRNA from 1 species